AAAAAAAUUGCCCUUUUUUUUAAUUGGCCAAUAAUUUCUCCCCAAAAUAUUUUCUCUCUUAUUUUUCCCAAAACCCCCAACUCGAUUAACAACGUUUACUAAAAAUCUUGUUCAUUCCAGUAGGAGUGCAUUUGCUGGACGAUCUCAAGUACAUGUUGUACCUCAAGACCAGUAUGAAAAAUUUGACAACUCUUCUUUCAUUCAUGCUGGGAAGGUCUCGUACACACUACCCUCUUGGUUGCUUAUUGAGGGGUGUAAUAUCCUUAAGCGUGUACCAAAUAGUGCUCUUUGGCUUCUCAGAUUUUUAGUUGCAGCAGAGAUGAGGCUCCACAUAUAUGCUUCUACAUAAGGCCUGGAACCAGAUAGAAUUAUCUUCACAGAUGUUGCAAUGAAACAAUGAAACAGGAGCACAUCUCCUUUGUUGAUCUUUUCCUUGACAUGUAAAAUUGUGUUUGUAAACUCACCAUCAAAAUGUGGAAGCAGUUCUCUCAAUGUAUAAAGAUAUCACAGUCAAGGUACUCCUUUUGCCGACUUCUUCUGGAAAAGUUGCUUAACCUUAAACUGCAGAAUGAAAUGGCUGGAUAUGGAAUACUGUUGAAAUUUACAUAGCGAAUGGAAGCCACAAAUAAAUUAUUGCUUGAGAUUUUUUGAGAAUGACUCUAUUGCUUGGACCUCUUGGAUAUGGAAAAACAACACUACUGAAAGCACUUUCAGGAAGCCUGGAAAAGUCUCUAAAGGUUUCUUCAAGUUAUUUCUCUUUUAAUGUCAAUAAGAGAAAAUAUAGGAACACUUGAACAAAAUCCUUCGGCUGAUAUAAGCAAAUACUUUGAUAUGCAACACACCGGAAUGUGAAUUAAUAUUUCUCUAUUUUAAUAAAAUGAACUUUACAGGCCUUUAUUUGUUAGAUUUGAUUUGUUUUUUUUUAGUCGAAAGAAAAUAUUUUUAUUCCACCAAAAUAUUUGAAUACAUUGUUUCCUACCUUGCCGAACUAUUACAUAUUUCAAUUACAUUGCAUUAAACUGGAAAAUAAUUCAAUUUUCCUAAUAAGUCCUGCCAUUUGCGCUGCUACUGGCCCUUCAUAUGCACUUGAAGGCAGAUAUCUUUGAGCAGCUGUAUGGUAUUCUUUCCCUAUGCCUUAAAUCUGCACGCAUUCCUUUCAUACCAAAUGUGGUAGACUGUAGAGGUAAACAAACAAAUUAGUACCUGUGAACUUGCUUUGGACGUGUGAAAACCAGUAGUCAACCAUUUGAUUUCAUCUUCCCCAGCUUGAGCUUGUCUGUGAAUGUUUAUCUAUUUCAGUAACGUGUUCCAGAUGGUUUUAGAAUAAAUGCACUCAAAGAACAGAUGUUGGAAUGUUUCUUUAGUUCUUGAGCCACAUAAGACACAGCAAGUGGCUACAUUGAUGCCCCAUUUCUCAAGUCUUUCCACUAUUGCUAAUCUCCCAUGGAGAGCCAACCAUGUAAUGAAUUGGUGUCUUGGAAUGGUGCCUGGUGAUUGUACCAAGUUUCUCCACUCUACCUUAGCCUGUUGAGGUAGCAUGGAGACAUAUAACUUCUUAAUACUGAACUUUGGGCCCGUAGUGAAUUGUGCUAGAUGUUGUAGUGGAGUGCUAGUUGGGAUCCCUUCUCUAACAUCAAAUAUUUUCCUAACAAGCCAGCAUGCUUGUUUAGGUGUUUGCGCUAAAUCCAAUUCCCUACCUUUGAUGUAGAAACUGUGAAUCUAUUGGACCCAUAAGGUGUCCUUAUUUGCUAAUGCCCAUAAGAGUUUACAGAUAGCAGCCUUAUUCUACCUUUCAAAUUCAAUGAUGUUCGACCCUCCAACAGCUUUUGGUAAACACAUUGUUUCCCAUGCAACUAAAGAUUUCUUUGAAUAGUUCACUGCUCCUGGCCGGAGGAACACCCGGCAAAUCUUUGUAACCAUGGAAAUGACUUUUUUUGGCAGUAGGAAUACUUGUGCCCAAUAUGUUUUCAUUUCAAAAAGGACGCUUUUAAUCAGCUGCAGCCUGCCACUAUAAGAUAAUAGCUUUGCAGUCCAGCAUUUGACUCUUGUCACCAUCUUCUCUACAAGGGGCAUGCAUUGGUGAAUAGUUAGUUUCCUGGAGGAGAGUGGAACUCCUAAAUACUUAAAGGGCAUUUCCCCCAGUGUAAAUUGCAUUUCCUUCAAAAUCUGCUGCUUAAAUUCAUUAGAUACCCCUGCAAUAUAAAAUGAGCUUUUCUCUAAGUUAGCUUUCAGCCCAGAGACAGAAGAGAAAUAAUUAAAAGCCUAUAAGAUUAACUGGAUGGACAUUUGGUCUGCUCUGAAACAUAGCAAUAAAUCAUCCACAAAACAGAUGUGAGUCAGUUGUAGUUUGGCACACCUUGGAUGGUAAUUGAAGUUUGGGUUAUGCAUCAACUAUUUCAAGGAUCUGUUUAGGUACUCCAUCACCAGCACAAAAAGAUAUGGGGACAUAGGGUCCCCUGUCUGAGCCAUUUCUUGUAGCGAAUUUCUCAGUUAAGCUCCCAUUCACAAAUAUAGAAUAACUAACAGUAGUAACACAUGUCAUUAUCCAGGCAAUCAUUUUUGCAGGAAAGCCAUACUCCACAAUUAUCAUCUGUAAGAACCCCCGCCCAACUGAGUCAUAGGUUUUCCUGAUGUCUAUUUUCAUGAAGCAUUUGAUUUGUUUUACUAGUAAUUUCUCCCUCUCUUGUUAAUCCUUUAAGUUUAUUACAUAUUUAAGAUCUCGGCUAUGGAACACUUACUUUCUCAUAUUUAACCAAGAGUGCAAUAGGUUUAUUGACUUCAUUAACUCCCCUUCCAAGAAGAAACUAGUAAACAGUUGCACUAUUUUUUGCACCUUAUCUUGAAUAAGAACGAUGUAAAAUUCAUGGUAUGGAUAGAGUUCAUAACAUAUGGAGUUGAUGUCAAUUUGACUGUAUCUUCUUCUGUCCAUGUCUAACAGGUUUCUAGGGAGAUUUCUUACAAUGUUUAUAAAUUGCCAGAGUUUGUACCACAAAAAACUUCUGUAUAUAUAAGCCAAAACAACUUAUAUUUCCCUGAAAUGACUGUUAGAGAAACACUAGAUUAUUCAUCUUGUUUUCAAGAGUCGAAAGUAGAGCAGGUAUGUCUUUCAGGUAAAAGAUAAAAUAUAGUGAAGAAUACAUUCCAACAUUAGUUUCUAAAGAAAUGCCUCUACUUUUGAAGAUGUUAUGAGUGACUUAAGAAGAAGGGAGAAAGAAGUAGGAAUCAUUCCUUAUCAAGAUAUAGAUACUUGCAUGAGGGUAGUUUUAACAUCAAGUUGUUUUUGCUUCAUCUUUGUUGAACUAUAAGUUUCUUAUCUAUGUGCAUUUUGCUUCUCUAUUCAAGUAGCAUGCCUGAAAAAAUAUGUUGCAUUCCUCUACAUUCAAUGUUGUUAUGGAUUUUAACCUUCUAAAUUAAAUUUAAUCAUAUAGGCGAUUUUUGUUGAAGGACAAAAGACUAACAUUCAGACGGAUUAUAUUCUGAAGAUUCUUGGACUAGAUAUUUGUGCUGACACAUUGGUUGGUGAUGCCAUGAGAAGAGGUAUAUCAGGUGGUCAAAAGAAAAGACUGACAACAAGUAAAUUUAUACCAUGAUCUGCUUUGUAACAAAGGUGUUAGCUGUAUAUGUUCUCCAAUAAAUCUGCUGAUGUACUUGAUAUCAUUUGUACGACAAGUAUAAAAUAACCAACUAUUUAUGCGAUACAAGAGAGCUGGUGGUUCGCUUCUUGGCUUCUGUCUUCCGGACUAUGGAUGCUUCUAUAGUUGCUAGUGGUUUAUCAAUCCUAUUCGUCCUUUUGUUUAGCGGAUUCAUAAUACCAAGAUCCUCAAUGCCAAUUUGGCUAAAAUGGGGAUUUUGGAUUUCUCCGUUGACAUAUGGCGAGAUAGGUCUUGCUGUGAAUGAAUUUCUUGCCCCAAGAUGGCAAAAGUCAAGUGAUGCGGCUAGUGGAUCCAUUUCGCCCAUGGAUGCAAGGAGAUCACGUGAUGAUAAUGAUCCUAAUGACAUUCUUUGAUUUCAUUGCAUUUGUCUUGGAUAUUCCAUUAUGAUGAUAUAAUUGUGUGGUUGGAGUGAAUCUUAGAAUAUUGAAGGUUUCGUGUUUAAAUUUGAUUUUGGAGUUUGAAGAUACUAGUUAAUAUUGAAAAUUUGGAGAUGUUGAUGUUGAA